GGAGUGAGCAGUGCGGGAGCCGAGCGCGGCCACGGGCCAGGGGGCGGCGGGGUGUAGGGAUGGAGGGAAGGUGUUGGCCAUCCUGCUGAGAGCGCCCCGGGGCGGCCCCAGAAAGGGCGAAGAGGAAUCCUGGAGGAGCAGGCGGAGGGCGCUCGGCUGGGAGUGGGCGCCCUGCCGGAAGCGCCCCGACUGCGACGGAGAGCAGUCUCCGCUCUGGCACGCUCUGAGGGGUUCCCUCCUCCAUUUUGUGGCUCUUCAAACAUGGCCAGAUGGACGUAGUUGGAGGCCUAGCGCUCCCCAUUCCGCUUCCCUGUCCCCUGCUCCUUCCUUCAGCGAGGAGCUGCCUCGACCGGCACUGACCGUCCCAGUUCCCUGGAGAGCUAGUCCCUGAGGGCGGGAAGCCGGGGUUCGUCUCCCGCGGAGCCGGGACAGCGGUCAUUUCCUUCUUGCACAAGCAUCAUCCUCGCACGUCCGUUACUCAGAGCUUCUCCCCAGGCUGCAUUUGCCUCGCUGCCCAUGGUUCCGUGUUCCCGCUCCCAAGAGAGAACCCGCUGCCCUCAGGUUUCCCCCUCCCGCCUUAUUGCCUUUCGGGCGAGAGACUUCAGCUCUCAUCACUGUACUCAGCAGCAGUUGGCUCAGCUGAUCGGUCCUGUCUUGUGGAAAGCUUUCUUUUCUUUACCAUUUCCCUGCACUCUUCUGCACUUUUCUUUUUAGCUCACUGGCCGGGUCCUCUGGGGUUCCUUUGCUGGAUUUUUCUCCCCUUCCUGACCUCUCACUUGUUCAGGUGCCCAGGGCUUAGUCCGGGGCCCUCUUUUCACAGCCACUCCCUCAUGUAAUCCCAUGAAUAGUGCUCACAGAAGGCUCUAAUCCCAGCCUUUCCUCUGAACUCUAAAGGGUAUAUUUGUGAAAAGAAAAUAACUCGGGGCCCUGGCCCAAAUGAACUCUCCACUUAUGUACAAAACAACAAAAACCGUGGGAGCUCAAUUCACUAUGCCAAAAGGAAAAAAUUAAGCAAAAAGCUGAGUCAUGCAAGAAACUGCCUUUCUCUAUGUCCCUAAGCAGAUAGCUACAGAUAAAAGGUUAAAUGUCCCCACAGGUAGCUGCUCUGUCCUCACCUUAUCUUACUGAAGUGCUGAUUUACACAGCAGGAGGCAAAUACAUAAUUGACUAUUCCCCUGCCUGUUCCUUUUUCUAUUUGUGCAAUGUGUGGAUUCAGUAAUGACCAUGUUCUCCCUCUUUCCCCUCCAGCCCGCUCCUCCCUUUUAAAUAUUGAAGCCCUCAAAAUCAUCUUUAGAUAAAGGCACAGACCUCCCUCCCAAGCAUGUCCUUAACCUUGGCAAAAUAAACUUCCAAAUUGAUUGAGAGCUGGUUUUGGUUUACAAGCUGGCAGCCAAAGGAAGUGACUCAGUGGAGGUGGCCCUGACCUUUGACAAAUCUAUCAGUGCUUGGUACCAGCUUGGGCUAUUUUUAUUGCUCAAACAGGACAAUUUGCUGAGGCCUGGGAGCACCCCACUCCAGAGAAUCCCUGAUGUCCCAAAAUUUGGUUGAGAUCUAAAGUUUAUUUUGCUGUACACCUCUUUGUCUGCAGUUUUACUUACUCCCAACAAAGAAGGUGCGUUUUCCUGCCUCCAUGACGAUGGAGGGGAGGCAACUCCUUUCUGGAAUUUCAUCUGGCUUCCAGCAGGGAAGGUGAGUCUGAGUUUUUUUUCUCCUUCUAAAAUGGUAAAGAGCAGUCUUGAGCCUGGACCCUAUUCCUAGGUAAGCACCUGAAUUGGAGUUUUGUCUUGGAAACUCUCCUUGGUGACUAAAGUUAAGAUUAACAACCAGCUGGUCUUAAUUUCUCCUUACCAUUAGAGCGCUCAAUAAUACAAAUUGUGCGAUCAUUUCUUUUGCUUAACUGUUUCUUUGUUUGUUUCUGUUGUUGUUUUGGUCUUUUUCCCAUUGGGUUUGACCAGCUCUACUUGACUUGGUCAAAUCUGAAGGAAAGUUGAAAUUAUGGAGAACAAGGUCUUUGAAUUGGCUAAAUUACCACAGCUGAGGGGAAAAAAAUGAAAAAGAAAAAACAGGCCGGGCAUCCUGAUGGUUUCCCUGCUUCUACUCUUUCGGGUUUUUUUUUUUUUUUUUUUUUAGACAAGGUGUCACUCUUGUCACCCAGGCUGGAGUGCAGUGGCCAUGAUCAUGGCUCACUGCAGCCUCCAGCUCCCAGGCUCAAGUGAUCCUCCCACCUCCACCUCCCAAGUAGCUGGGACUACAGGUAUGUGUCACCAUGCCUGGCUAAAUUUUUUUGUAUUUUUUGUAGAGAUGAGGGCUUGCGAUGUUGCCCAGGCUGGUCUCCGACUCCUGGGCUCAAGUGAUCCCCCUCCCUCAGCCUCCCGAAGUGCUGGGAUUACAGAUGUGAGCCACCUCGCCGGCCCCCUGCUUCUACUCUUGACUCUAGAGAUUGUUAUUUCUCAGUUCUACACUUGCCCUUUUAUACUCUACUGCAGGGACCUAGAGUGUGUGAACCCCAUUUCCCAGGCUCUCGUGCCCGCUGGCUUCUGCCAGUAGGGGGCACUAUAAGGAAAUCAGAAGGCAGGAGGUGGAGAGUAACUUACUGCUUCUGGAUUCAAUCGUGUGGCAGUUGCUGGCCAUUUCUAUAGUGAAAGUGGAGGAGGGAUUAUUCUUUACUCUAGGAAUUCCUUCCAUGGUCAAGGUGGCACCUCUCUAGUAGACAGAGGAUGAAAGUGAUAGUGUCUCCAAAUGGCACAGAAGCUGGUGCAGUUCCAUUGGUUCCAGCUAAGGGUAUUUUUAGCAGCUUUUUUAUCUAUGAUGUCACUCCAUUAUUCUUUUUGACAUCUAUUACUCUUAAAAUUCCCUCUGCAUGAAAUAACUAGAUAGUUUAUCUUUCGUGACUGGACUCUGAUAACACUUUGUUGUAGCCUGUUCUCCACCUAGCCAUUGGUGUCCGAAGGUACCCUGAUCAUGUUAAUUCACUGCUUAAAACUUUCCAAUAGCCUCCCCUCACGUUUAGAAUAAAAUUCAAAAUGUGAAUUUUUCUACACAUAUUCUACAAGCCCUAAAUGCCCUGGCCCGUGACUACAUCUUCAACCUCUUUUUGUAGGAUUCUCCCACUUAGUGAGUUUCAGCCAGAGUGCCUUCCUUGCUGUACACUACUGAGCAUUCUAAACACAUUCCCAGCCCGGGGCUUUUGCAUUCAUUCUGUUUCCUUUGCCUGUAGUGUCCAGCUAUCAUUCUCACUUAAUUCAAUUGCUGCUUCAAUAUUACCUCCCUAAAGAAGACUUCCCUGACCACCAUGUCUAAAAUAUCAGUCUCUGCUACUUUCUGUCCCUGACCCUGUUUUAUUUUUCUUAAUAUAAAUGUAUCUAUUUGUUUGUUGUUUUUAAUGUGUCUUCCUCACUGGAAUAUCUUGUAAAAUCAGGGUCUUUGUUGUUCAUGUUCACUGUAAUGUUAGUACCUUGAAUAGAAUCUGGCCCACAGUAGGUGCUCAGUAAGUAUUUAUUGAAUGAAUGAAUGAAUGAAUGGUACACUCUCACAUACUCUAGUCUUAGUGUCUUGGCACUGUCUACUUUUGUGGCUUUCUCAACAGCCUGUAAUUUGAAGCUUAAGGAGAUUCAUGAUGAAGCAAGGAAAUUGGCAAGACCAUCAAACUCUUCUUCACUUCUACUUCUCGCUUGCCUGCUUUGGACAAAAACAAAAAAAUCCAGCCCAUGUGGAAAUACCAUAGUUAAAGUUGGGAGACAGUAGGUGAAAAGGCAAGCAGGCUUAUAUAACAAAAGCAGUAGCUCCAACAUAUACAAAGUGUUUAAUUCAAUUAUGUAAGUAACUGAGGAGUGCUUGUGCAUAGGAAGCCAAUCAACUAAUAUCAGUAUCUAGAACCGUGUGGCAACAAUAUUUAAAUCAGCUCAAAGGCCGCCAGAGAGUGUACCCAAUAAUCUUUAUCUGAUCUGAAAGGGUAACCAGUUCUAAAUGCUGGCUAAUAAAUAUUGUGUAAGGAACUAGGUAAAUUGAGAUAUGAAUCAUGCUUCCAUUUAAAAAAAAUGUAAAUAAUGAACAGAAUUCCAGUGUGGAAUUAGAACAGGAAUCGGUUUCACCUAGGGCAAAUUAAUUGCUAAGUAGCGAAGAGCUGCUGCUUUUGCUGAGCAUAAGAUGUGAGGAUUUCUUUCUUUCUUUCUUUUUUGAGGCAGAGUCUCGCUCUGUCGCCCAGGCUGGAGUGCAGUGGUGCAAUCUUAGCUCACUGCAACCUCCACCUCCCAGGUUCAAGCAAUUCUCCUGUGUCAGCCUCCUGAAUAGGUGGAUUUCAGGCAUGUGCCACCAUGCCCAGCUAAUUUUUGUAUUUCUAGUAGAGACAGGGUUUCACCAUGUUGGUCAGGCUGGUCUCAAACUCCUGACCUCAUGAUCCGCUGCCUCAGCCUCCCAAAGUGCUGGGAUUACAGGCGUGAGCCACCGUGCCGGGCUGAGGAUUUCUUACAAACGAUGUACUCUGAUUCUAAUGGCAUAAUCACCAAGAAUUUACUACCAACUCUUGAACAUUUUCUUUAUUAGUUAGAGAAAUCAACUGAUGGCAUUUUGUUGGGCAUAUUUAAAAAUCACAUCCAAGUGCUUUAAUAGAACAAGGUGAUAUAUUUAUGGAACCAAAGAGAGGACUGGGAAUUCUUUUACUACACUCCCAAGCUGAAACAUUCUCCCUUCAGCUUUUGAAUAUGAUAUACUCAUUGAUUUAAGUAGCUAUGGGUAAUGAAAUCACCACAGCAGGUUAUAGGGGUAAGGGGUGAGUCCUCACAAGCUUCUCCUUUCAGGAAUGCAGUAGACUGUAGUGAUUUUACUAUGCCUGCCCACUAUACUUUUCCAUCCUCCUUUUUCAGCUUAAAAAAAACCAAGUUUUUCUUUUUGUUUUUAUUGGGGGUAAUCAACUCCAUGACCCUUCUCCACCACAACCUUUAGAUCUUUGAUCUGCUCAGUUAUCAGCAGGGAGAGUUUUCUUAAAGGCAAGGAUGAAACAGACACUUUUAAUUAUUUAAACCUCAGGGGGACUAAGGUAGUGAGUGUGUACCCAGGAGUUCUUUCUGCCUUCUGGCCCAAAUUUCAUUACAUUUUCAUUGGAUACUACAUAAAUACAAAACAGUGCCUACAGUAAAUUAUUACAGAGUUUACCUACCUGUAUCUAUGACCCAGAACAUUACCAGCAUUCCUUUUAGGCCCCUACCCAAUCACCACUAUAGAAUUUCUGGGUGAAAGUAAAUACAUGUUUUAACUUUAGAAGCCAAAUAAUUUUUCAGUGUUUUUAUACCAAUUUAUAUUCCCUACCACACAGUCUAGCAGCUGCUUUCUAAAACUUGAUUUAAAAAAAUAAUUACCCAUUCUGGUGGAUGCGUAGUGAUCUCUCUCUCUCUCUCUCUUUUUUUUUUUUCUUUUUUGAGACUCUGUCUCAAAAAAAAAAAAAAAGGAAUGCAGCGGUAUGAUCUCAGCUCACAGCAACCUCUGCUUCCUGGGCUCAAGUCAUCCUCUCACUUUAGCCUCUCUAGUUGCUUGCGUUACAGGUGUGUGCCCCCGUGCCUGGCUAAUUUUUAUAUUUUUAGUAGAGACAGGGUUUUGCCAUGUUGCCCAGGCUGGUCUUGAACUCUUGAGCUCAAGACAUCCACCUGCCUUGGCCUCCCAAAGUGCUGGGGUUACAGGUGUGGGCCACUGCACCCAGCUUGUAGUGAUAUCUCCUUGUGAUGUUAACUUCCAUUUCCCUAGUGACUAAUCAUGGUGGGUUCCUUUUCAUGUGUAUUGACUAUUUGCACAUAUUUCCAUAGCUGGGAAUAGCAGAUUUUAUGAAAGGUGUUUAAGACAACAGACGUGAAUUGAAGCCUCAGACUGCCUUGGACACCUUUCCUAACUUUCAAAACACUCUUCUUCAGCAAAUGCCAAUAUAAAUGUUUGUGUCCACAGAUCAAUAAUAGAAAAGAACAAACACAGGACCAUAGACACUACACACACGCACACAUGCAUAUAACUCUAAGGAAAAGGAGAUAAAGAUCUUUACAAAAGAUGAAGCAUUCUGAUGUGUAAUUCUCACAAUCUCUUAAGACACUGACACAUGAUCUUUGGGGGCGGGGGCGGAGGAGUUAGCCCAAAGGAAGGCUGUGAGGGAUUAAAGAAUAGAUUAUAAGAAAACAGGAGAGGGCAAACUCGAAUUGAAACUCAGGAAAGAAAGAGAAGAGAAAAGCACACCUUAAUAGAGAUGAAAGUUGCAUGAGAACAAAAGGUAAGAGAUACAAAAAGAGAAGUUUGACAAAAUUACAUAAAAUGAAAAGGAGACAAAUGAUUCCAUUUACAUGAUAGAAUAGUCAAAUUCAUAGAAACAGAAAGUAGAACAGUGGUUACUAAGGGCUGGGGCAGGGGGCAAGGGAAGCGGUUAUGGUAACAGAGCUACUGCUUGAUGGGGACAGAGUUUCAAUUUGGAAUGAUGAAAAAGUUCUGGAGGUAAAUAGUGGCGAUGAUUGCACAACAUUGUGAAUGUACUUAAUGCCACUGAAUUGUUCACUUAAAAUGAUUAAAAUGGUAAAAUAUACAUAAAAGAUACAAAAAAUACAUAAAACAUGUGGAUGUAAGUUUUCAACUCAUUUGGGUAAAUAGCUUAUUUGGGUAUGUGCUUAUUGGAGACCUAUGCUUAGCUUUGUAAGAAACUGCAAAACUCUUCCAAAGUGGCUGUACCAUUCAUCAUGCAUUCGUACCAAUAUAUAAGAGUUCCUGCUGUGCCACAUCCUUGCCAGCAUUUGGUGGUGUAAGUGCUUUGGAUUUUAGCCAUUCUCAUAGGUGUGUAGUGGUAUCUCAUUGUUUUAUUGCCAAUUCCCUGAUGACACAUAAUGUUGAGUAUCUUUACACAUCUUUAUUUGCCAUCUGUAUAGAUUCUUCGGUGAGGUGUCUGUUUAAACCAUUUUUAAUUGGGUUGCUUUUUAUUGUUGAGUUUAAAUAGUUAUUUGUAUAUUUUAGAUAAAUAGUCUUUUAUAUAAGCUAUGUUUUUACAAAGAUUUUCUCAUAAUCCUUGGCUUGUCUUUUCAUUCUAUUAACAGUGUUUUUUUACAGAGCAAGUUUUAAAUUUUAAUGAAGUCCAUUUUAUGAAUUUUUUCUUUCAUGAAUUGUGCUUUUGGUUUUGUAUCUAAAAAGUCAUUGCCAAACCCAAGGCCACCUAGAUGUUCUCCUGUGUUAUCCUAGGAGUUUUAUAGUGAUGCAUGUCAGGAAGAAAAGAAAGAUACAAGAUUUUUCUCUAGGUUUUGGUUUUGUUUUAUUUUUUGGCAUGUGGAUAUCUAGUUGUUUCAGUACCAUUUGUCAAACAAGCUGUCCUUUCUCCAUUGAAUUGCUUUUGUUUCUUUGUCAAACCUUAGUUGACUGUAUUAGUGUGAAUCCAUUUUCAGUUUUGUAUUCUGUUCUAUUUAUUUGUCUAUUCAGUCAUCAAUGCCACAUUAUUGUGUUUACCUUUAUGGUAAAUCCUGUAGUUGGUAGUGUCAGUCUACCAACUUUGUUCUUCAACAUUGUGUUGGCUAUUCUGGGUUUUUGCUUUUCCAUGUCAUCUUUAGAAUCAAGUUGGUCAAUAUCCACAAAAUAAACUGCUAGAUUUUGAUUGAGAGUGUUGAAUCCAUGUAUCAAGUUGAGAAGAACUGGCAUCUUUUCAACUUCAACUCUUCAUUUUCAUGAACAUGGACUGUCUCUUUAUUUAUUUACAUCUCCUUUGGUUUCUUACAUCAGAAUUUUGUAGUUUUCCUCAUAUAGAUCUUGUAUAUAUUUAGAUUUAUAUCUAAGUAUUUCCGCCCCUUUUUGGUGCUAAUGUAAGUGGUGUUUUUAAUUUUAAUUUCAAAUCCAAAGUGUUCAUUGCUAUUGUAUAGUAAAAUAAUUGACUUUGUAUAAUAACUUUCAUCCUGAUACCAUGCUAUAAUCACUUAUUAGUUCCAGAAAUCUUUUUUGUUGAUUAUUUGGGAUGUUCUACCUUGAUAACCAUGUUAUCUGUGAACAAAGGCAGCUUAAUUUCUUUCUUCCUAAUAUGUAUACAUUUCCUUUAUUUGUCUUAUUACAUUAGCUAAAACUUCAGUUACGAUGUUGAAAAUGAGUGGUGAGAGGGGACAUCCUUGCUUUGUUCCUAAUAUUAGCAGGAAGGCAUGCAGCUUCUUUUGACUAAUAUGUUAUCUGUAGAAUUUUGUAGAUGUUUGUGAUCCAAGUGAG
rnacentral:lncRNA from 1 species